UGUCGCUCUUGAGCAUCCUAAUGAUAUUGAUGUUGCAGCGGAAUCUAUUCUUGUAGAAAUUCUACCCUCAAUUGCCACUUCUCACGAAUCAUCAUUCGCUCUACAAGAUGCAAAUGAAGUGGUUCGUGUCUCAACUUCAGAUGGAAAGGCUAUAGA